GUGCUAUACGAGCGGCCGAUGUCUGAUUAGCUAGUUGGUGAGGUAAAGGCUCACCAAGGCGACGAUCAGUAGCGGGUCUGAGAGGAUGAUCCGCCACACUGGGACUGAGACACGGCCCAGACUCCUACGGGAGGCAGCAGUGGGGAAUUUUGGACAAUGGGCGAAAGCCUGAUCCAGCCAUGCCGCGUGUCUGAAGAAGGCCUUCGGGUUGUAAAGGACUUUUGUCAGGGAGCAAAACUUACUGGUUAAUACCCGGUGAGGCUGAGAGUACCUGAAGAAUAAGCACCGGCUAACUACGUGCCAGCAGCCGCGGUAAUACGUAGGGUGCAAGCGUUAAUCGGAAUUACUGGGCGUAAAGCGUGCGCAGGCGGACUUUUAAGCCAGAUGUGAAAGCCCCGAGCUUAACUUGGGAAUUGCGUUUGGAACUGGGAGUCUAGAGUCUGUCAGAGGGGGAUGGAAUUCCACGUGUAGCAGUGAAAUGCGUAGAGAUGUGGAGGAACACCGAUGGCGAAGG
rnacentral:rRNA from 1 species